rnacentral:lncRNA from 1 species
UCAUUUCGUCAGAGCACUUUCACAUUUAUUAUCUCAUUUGACCUUCCAAUCAUCCUUUCAGGUGGGUAGGGGAGGCAUCCUUAGCUCCCCUCCUUGACGGCAAGGAUGAAUGAGUCGUCAAUGGGGUCAAUUAUCUAGUGAGUAGCAGAAGGAGAACUCCACUCUUCCUUCUACUUAAGGAAGAAGUCAGUACUAAGAAAUCUUUCUAAUUAUCAAACACCAUUACUGCUGAAGGUGCUUUGAGGCAGACCAGCUAUACCUGGAACUUCGACCUGGGAGCAUCUCUCUUAAGCUCAUCUCGUUUUCUUCGUGACUACUUUCCUUCUUCCAUUGCUUAGGCCAGUUUUUCUAAAAGCCCUUGGACUUUUUCAGAGACAGUUGCAAGGUGGAGGGACUCUGGUAAAAAUUGGGAUGUCUGCUGGACAAGGACAAAGAUGAACACCCAACAGCUCACCAUGCACCUUCCAAACACGACAGAGAGUUUGUAACAUCCUUUUUAUGGUCCUGGACCAGCGAACAGCGUCUGCCCUCUCUGCUCAGCUCUAGACCAAUGUUUCCAACUGCUUCUUGAGCGUCUUUCCCUGGAUGUUGCUAGAAGGGACUCAAAAGGAACCUGCUGGUCCUUCUUUGAUCUCAGAUCAUGGCUUCAUCAUGCACACAGCCAUCCAAGCAAAAAGUAGCAAUUAUUGUGUCUUCCUCAUAUUUUUUUUAAUCCAACUGGUCCAUGAGAGCUGUUAUUUCUGUAUUUCUACCACUGACAUGUCUUUUCCUCCCUAUUGCCAUUGUGACUCUCUAUUUGGACAACCUCCAGUGUCCUCUAACUAACUUCCCUCCCGAAAAAUCUCUGGAUAUUUAUUGUGUAGAAUAAAGUACAAGUGUCAUAGGUUAGUGCUGAAGGUUUUUCCCAAUUUGAUCUCAAACCCUUCUUCUUAACUUCCUCUCAACCAAUGCACCCUGCUUCAACUCUGGGCCUUUGCAAAGGCUGCUCUUCUUUUCCUACUUCUCAUUAUUUUAUUUUU